CCUCCCCUACGGGAGGCAGCAGUGAGGAAUAUUGGUCAAUGGGCUUACGCCUGAACCAGCCAAGUCGCGUGAGGGAAGACUGCCCUAUGGGUUGUAAACCUCUUUUGUCAGGGAGCAACGCCGGCUACGUGUAGCCGGACUGAGAGUACCUGAAGAAUAAGCAUCGGCUAACUCCGUGCCAGCAGCCGCGGUAAUACGGAGGAUGCGAGCGUUAUCCGGAUUUAUUGGGUUUAAAGGGUGCGUAGGCGGCAUUAUAAGUUAGUGGUAAAAUAUUGGGGCUUCACCUCACUACGCCAUUAAUACUG
rnacentral:rRNA from 1 species